rnacentral:rRNA from 1 species
AUUAGAAUACCUUGGUAGUCCAUGCCGUAAACGUUGGGAACUAGAUGUGGGACCAUUCCACGUCUCCGUGUCGCAGCUAACGCAUUAAGUCCCCGCUGGGGAGUACGGCCGCAAGGCUAAAACUCAAAGGAAUUGACGGGGGCCCGCACAAGCGGCGGAGCAUGCGGAUUAAUUCGAUGCAACGCGAAGAACCUUACCAAGGCUUGACAUAUACCGGAAACGGCCAGAGAUGGUCGCCCCGCAAGGUCGGUAUACAGGUGGUGCAUGGUUGUCGUCAGCUCGUGUCGUGAGAUGUUGGGUUAAGUCCCGCAACGAGCGCAACCCUCGUUCUAUGUUGCCAGCACGUUAUGGUGGGAACUCAUAGGAGACUGCCGGGGUCAACUCGGAGGAAGGUGGGGAUGACGUCAAAUCAUCAUGCCCCUUAUGUCUUGGGCUUCACGCAUGCUACAAUGGCCGGUACAAAGGGCUGCGAUACCGUAAGGUGGAGCGAAUCCCAAAAAGCCGGUCUCAGUUCGGAUUGAGGUCUGCAACUCGACCUCAUGAAGUCGGAGUCGCUAGUAAUCGCAGAUCAGCAACGCUGCGGUGAAUACGUUCCCGGGCCUUGUACACACCGCCCGUCAAGUCAUGAAAGUCGGUAACACCCGAAGCCAGUGGCCUAACC